rnacentral:rRNA from 1 species
AGAGUUUGAUCCUGGCUCAGGAUGAAUGCUGAGCGGCGUGCCUAAUACAUGCAAGUCGAACGGAACUUCUUUAUCACCGAGUGCUUGCACUCACCGAUAAAGAGUUGAGUGGCGAACGGGUGAGUAACACGUGGGCAACCUGCCCAAAAGAGGGGGAUAACACUUGGAAACAGGUGCUAAUACCGCAUACCAUAGUUACCGCAUGGUAACUAUGUAAAAGGUGGCUAUGCUACCGCUUUUGGAUGGGCCCGCGGCGCAUUAGCUAGUUGGUGGGGUAAAGGCUUACCAAGGCAAUGAUGCGUAGCCGAACUGAGAGGUUGAUCGGCCACAUUGGGACUGAGACACGGCCCAAACUCCUACGGGAGGCAGCAGUAGGGAAUCUUCCACAAUGGGCGAAAGCCUGAUGGAGCAACGCCGCGUGGGUGAAGAAGGUCUUCGGAUCGUAAAACCCUGUUGUUAGAGAAGAAAGUGCGUGAGAGUAACUGUUCACGUUUCGACGGUAUCUAACCAGAAAGCCACGGCUAACUACGUGCCAGCAGCCGCGGUAAUACGUAGGUGGCAAGCGCUAUCCGGAUUUAUUGGGCGUAAAGGGAACGCAGGCGGUCUUUUAAGUCUGAUGUGAAAGCCUUCGGCUUAACCGGAGUAGUGCAUUGGAAACUGGGAGACUUGAGUGCAGAAGAGGAGAGUGGAACUCCAUGUGUAGCGGUGAAAUGCGUAGAUAUAUGGAAGAACACCAGUGGCGAAAAGCGGCUCUUGGGUCUGUUACUGACGCUGAGGCACGAAAGCGUGGGGAGCAAAUAGGAUUAGAUACCCUAGUAGUCCACGCCGUAAACGAUGAGGACCAAGUGUUGGGGAAGACCCAGUGCUGCAGUUAACGCAGUGAGUCCUCCGCCUGGGGAGUAUGCACGCAAGUGUGAAACUCAAAGGAAUUGACGGGGGCCCGCACAAGCGGUGGAGUAUGUGGUUUAAUUCGAAGCAACGCGAAGAACCUUACCAGGCCUUGACAUAGGGUGCGAAGCUGUGGAGACAUAGUGGAGGUAAACAUCCAUACAGGUGGUGCAUGGUUGUCGUCAGCUCGUGUCGUGAGAUGUUCAGUUAAGUCUGGCAACGAGCGCAACCCUCGUGAUGUGUUACCAAUAUCGAGUUAGGGACUCACAUCAGACUGCCGGUGAGAAACCGGAGGAAGGCGGGGAUGACGUCAAAUCAUCAUGCCCCUUAUGGCCUGGGCUACACACGUACUACAAUGGCGGCGACAGAGGGCAGCGAGCCUGCGAAGGCAAGCGAAUCCCAAAAAAGCCGUCCCAGUUCGGAUUGGAGUCUGCAACCCGACUCCAUGAAGUUGGAAUCGCUAGUAAUCGCGGAUCAGCAUGCCGCGGUGAAUACGUUCUCGGGCCUUGCACACACCGCCCGUCAA